AUGUGCAUCGUUGAUCAGGAUGGUGUGUACGUGCAUGUUCAAGCUGAUCAAAGAUGCCUUCUACGUUUGCAUCUUGCCGGACAAACCCCGUGCAGGACCACAUCAAGAUUGAAUCAAGCCAUCCUGCUUCGCCGCAGUUCAGAAGUUAAACAGUUCAAAGAAAGCAAUCUAUCUUACCUGUGUGUAUGUAGGUAUAUAUUAGCACAUCUCGCUGGAAUCGAUCAACCUACUUGUGAAGUCAUAUGGGUUAUUACAUGUACGUGUGUCAUUCUUUGCAGACUGGAAUUUCCUGGCCGUCAUGCUUCGCUCUUACUCUCUCCACAAGUCCCGUCCCACUCUUUCCUGCUUUACUACUGCUACUAA
rnacentral:rRNA from 1 species